ACGGAGGGUGCGAGCGUUAUUCGGAAUUACUGGGCGUAAAGCGCGUGCAGGCGGGAAGGUAAGUCUGAUGGGAAAGACCCGGGCUUAACACGGGGAAUGCAUUGGAAAAUGCUUUUCUUGAGUACUGGAGAGGGAGGGGGAAUUCCCGGUGUAGAGGUGAAAUUCGUAGAGAUCGGGAGGAAUACCAGUGGCGAAGGCGCCCUUCUGGACGGUUACUGACGCUGAGACGCGAAAGCGUGGGGAGCAAACAG
rnacentral:rRNA from 1 species